ensembl:snRNA U6 U6 spliceosomal RNA
GUGCUCGCUUCGGCAUCACCUACCCUAAAACUGGAGCGAUACAGAGAAGAUGAGCGUGGCCCCUGCACAAGGAUGACAUGGAAAUCCGUGAAGCGUUCCAUGUUUAA